GAUGAACGCUGGCGGCGUGCCUAAUACAUGCAAGUCGAGCGAACAGACGAGGAGCUUGCUCCUCUGACGUUAGCGGCGGACGGGUGAGUAACACGUGGAUAACCUACCUAUAAGACUGGGAUAACUUCGGGAAACCGGAGCUAAUACCGGAUAAUAUAUUGAACCGCGUGGUUCAAUAGUGAAAGACGGUUUUGCUGUCACUUAUAGAUGGAUCCGCGCCGCAUUAGCUAGUUGGUAAGGUAACGGCUUACCAAGGCAACGAUGCGUAGCCGACCUGAGAGGGUGAUCGGCCACACUGGAACUGAGACACGGUCCAGACUCCUACGGGAGGCAGCAGCAGGGAAUCUUCCGCAAAGGGCGAAAGCCUGACGGAGCAACGCCGCGUGAGUGAUGAAGGUCUUCGGAUCGUAAAACUCUGUUAUUAGGGAAGAACAAAUGUGUAAGUAACUAUGCACGUCUUGACGGUACCUAAUCAGAAAGCCACGGCUAACUACGUG
rnacentral:rRNA from 1 species